AGCAGUGUGGUGUAGUGGUUUCAGCGUUGGACCAAGACUCUGGAGACCAGGGUUCGAAUCCUGGCUCAGCCA